AUAUUCCCUUUGACAGCACAUAUAUACAAAAAUUGGAAUGAUACAGAGAUUAGCAUGGACCCUGUACAAGGAUGACACACAAAUUUGUAAGAUUUUACAUAUUUUU
rnacentral:snRNA from 1 species